GAGAGCCGGAUGCUCGGUGACGGGCACGUCCGGUUCGGAGGGCGGGCCGGGGAAACGGGCUGGUGGGAACACCAGCGCCGCGCCCCGGUCCGACCCUAC
rfam:Actinospica robiniae DSM 44927 genomic scaffold ActroDRAFT_ARA.1, whole genome shotgun sequence.